rnacentral:rRNA from 1 species
GAUGACUGGGGUUAAGUCGUAACAAGGUAGCUGUAGGUGAACCUGCAGAAAGAUCA